UGCGAAUGCUGACAUAAGUAACGAUAAAGCGGGUGAAAAGCCCGCUCGCCGGAAGACCAAGGGUUCCUGUCCAACGUUAAUCGGGGCAGGGUGAGUCGACCCCUAAGGCGAGGCCGAAAGGCGUAGUCGAUGGGAAACAGGUUAAUAUUCCUGUACUUGGUGUUACUGCGAAGGGGGGACGGAGAAGGCUAUGUUAGCCGGGCGACGGUUGUCCCGGUUUAAGCAUGUAGGCUGGUUAUCCAGGCAAAUCCGGAUAAUCAAGGCUGAGGUGUGAUGACGAGGCACUACGGUGCUGAAGUAACAAAUGCCCUGCUUCCAGGAAAAGCCUCUAAGCAUCAGGUAACAUCAAAUCGUACCCCAAACCGACACAGGUGGUCAGGUAGAGAAUACCAAGGCGCUUGAGAGAACUCGGGUGAAGGAACUAGGCAAAAUGGUGCCGUAACUUCGGGAGAAGGCACGCUGGUGUGUAGGUGAAGUCCCUGCGGAUGGAGCUGAGACCAGUCGAAGAUACCAGCUGGCUGCAACUGUUUAUUAAAAACACAGCACUGUGCAAACACGAAAGUGGACGUAUACGGUGUGACGCCUGCCCGGUGCCGGAAGGUUAAUUGAUGGGGUUAUCCGUAAGGAGAAGCUCUUGAUCGAAGCCCCGGUAAACGGCGGCCGUAACUAUAACGGUCCUAAGGUAGCGAAAUUCCUUGUCGGGUAAGUUCCGACCUGCACGAAUGGCGUAAUGAUGGCCAGGCUGUCUCCACCCGAGACUCAGUGAAAUUGAACUCGCUGUGAAGAUGCAGUGUACCCGCGGCAAGACGGAAAGACCCCGUGAACCUUUACUAUAGCUUGACACUGAACAUUGAGCCUUGAUGUGUAGGAUAGGUGGGAGGCUUUGAAGCGUGGACGCCAGUCUGCGUGGAGCCAACCUUGAAAUACCACCCUUUAAUGUUUGAUGUUCUAACGUUGGCCCCUGACCGGGGUUGCGGACAGUGUCUGGUGGGUAGUUUGACUGGGGCGGUCUCCUCCCAAAGCGUAACGGAGGAGCACGAAGGUUAGCUAAUCCUGGUCGGACAUCAGGAGGUUAGUGCAAUGGCAUAAGCUAGCUUGACUGCGAGCGUGACGGCGCGAGCAGGUGCGAAAGCAGGUCAUAGUGAUCCGGUGGUUCUGAAUGGAAGGGCCAUCGCUCAACGGAUAAAAGGUACUCCGGGGAUAACAGGCUGAUACCGCCCAAGAGUUCAUAUCGACGGCGGUGUUUGGCACCUCGAUGUCGGCUCAUCACAUCCUGGGGCUGAAGUAGGUCCCAAGGGUAUGGCUGUUCGCCAUUUAAAGUGGUACGCGAGCUGGGUUUAGAACGUCGUGAGACAGUUCGGUCCCUAUCUGCCGUGGGCGCUGGAGAAUUGAGGGGGGCUGCUCCUAGUACGAGAGGACCGGAGUGGACGCAUCACUGGUGUUCGGGUUGUCAUGCCAAUGGCACUGCCCGGUAGCUAAAUGCGGAAGAGAUAAGUGCUGAAAGCAUCUAAGCACGAAACUUGCCCCGAGAUGAGUUCUCCCUGAGACUUUAAGUCUCCUGAAGGAACGUUAAAGACGAUGACGUUGAUAGGCCGGGUGUGUAAGCGCAGCGAUGCGUUGAGCUAACCGGUACUAAUGAACCGUGAGGCUUAACCUUACAACGCCGAAG
rnacentral:rRNA from 1 species